GAGGGUAGAGCUCAGUGGCAGAGCACAUGCUUAGCAUGCAUGAGGUCCUGGUUCAAUCCCCAGUAUCUCUG
rnacentral:tRNA from 1 species